rnacentral:rRNA from 1 species
UAAGAGUUUGGAACCUGGCUCAGAUUGAACGCUAGCGGGAUGCUUUACACAUGCAAGUCGAACGGCAGCGCGAGAGAGCUUGCUCUCUUGGCGGCGAGUGGCGGACGGGUGAGUAAUAUAUCGGAACGUGCCCAGUAGCGGGGGAUAACUACUCGAAAGAGUGGCUAAUACCGCAUACGCCCUACGGGGGAAAGGGGGGGAUCGCAAGACCUCUCACUAUUGGAGCGGCCGAUAUCGGAUUAGCUAGUUGGUGGGGUAAAGGCUCACCAAGGCAACGAUCCGUAGCUGGUUUGAGAGGACGACCAGCCACACUGGGACUGAGACACGGCCCAGACUCCUACGGGAGGCAGCAGUGGGGAAUUUUGGACAAUGGGGGAAACCCUGAUCCAGCCAUCCCGCGUGUAUGAUGAAGGCCUUCGGGUUGUAAAGUACUUUUGGCAGAGAAGAAAAGGUAUCCCCUAAUACGGGAUACUGCUGACGGUAUCUGCAGAAUAGCCCGAAUUG